rnacentral:lncRNA from 1 species
UUCAAAUACAAGUUCAAAGAUUCAAAUUAUGGAGGGAAAUGCAUAUUACUUGACAUACAAUACAUAAUUCAUUUGAAAAGAAGCCAUUUUCAUUACAAGUCAUCAAGUCAUUACACAGAGUCAGGAUUACAAGUCCAUACAAAAUUACAUAUUUUUUUGGCCUACAGUUGACUUUUGGUCAACUAUUGACUUUUUAGUGAGAUAGUUGACCAAAAUCAACUACUAGUUAUAAACCCUAAUUCCUACAUUUCCUUCAUUCACAAGUUAUCCCCAUUCUCACGGGUCUCUAAAACCUUCAUGAUUCUUGAUGAUGUCUUCAUGUGCCAUGACCUCUCUAUGUCAUGUCAAGCCUUGUUUCAUACCAAGCCACAACCAUUCCAUGCCAACCCUGCAAAAGCAUGCACAUAUACACAAUCAUCAUUCACCAUCCACAUGACACAUAUACAUACAUAAUACAAACCAUACCAAGAACCAAGACACCAAAAUAAUUCACACACACACAUGGCAUAUGCAAGUAUUAUUUACUAACAUAUCAAUGUAGUUUCCAUUUUCAAUUCAAUUCCAUUAUAACCAACAUGCUAACUGUCAGCCCCAUAAUUCAUAACACAAUAACUAAUCACAAUACAAAAUAAUUCAACUUAACUAACCUCAUAACUCUAAGUCCGUUUUAAUAGCCCUAACUAUAUUCAAACUAAGAUUCAAUUAGCAUCUCCAUUCUAACAUUAAUAGCUCCACAUCAAUUCAUCACAUGCUAACAUUAGAUAACAAGUGUUUCUAAUUAUAACAAGCCAACUAGCUUUUAACAGCCAUACUAGCAAACUAGCAAUUCAAACUUACUAAAUUCCAAUCUCAUAUGCAUAGCUAACAACACCUAACAAAUUCAAACAGUUUCACCUAGUUCAUUUAACUAACUCUUCCUAACUUCAUUUUCUAACUAUAACAAAAGGUUAACAAGUGGUAAACAUCUAACUAUACUAACUUCCUUAACACUAACUCACCAUUUAACAUCAAUUAACCUUAACUGCAACAAGUUGAAUUACUAACAACCAUCAAUCUGUAACAACUAACCUAAUGCAUUUAGCAUUUUCCAUUUCAAUUUCAAUAUAACUUAACAUCAAAUUAACCAUCCUAACUAAGUUUAACAUAGUAAUCUAACUAUGUUAAUAUUGCAACAAACUUUCUAACUGAAAUUAUUAACUGUAACAUGUGCGCUAACAUUCAUUAACCCCUGCCCCAGAUUGUCGGAGUAUGUUAGCCUCAAAUCCAUUAUAUAAAAAUUUAUACUCACUUUCAUUUGGAGUAACCCAUCACUUUCUGCAUAAAUUCAUCACAAACAAUCACAUUCCAUAAUUUCACUCUCAAGCCCACUCUCAAUCUCUCUAAAAUUUUCCUCUACAACUCCAUCCAUUUCUUAACUCUACUCCAUCAUACAACAGUCUCUCUACUCUCUCACACAUACGUAUUUAUCAUCACAUCAAUCAACACAAACCAAACCUAUAUACUAAGAGUGUGAAGAAGAAAAAGAAGAUGAAGAAUUUGUGGCAGACAAAAGUUUGAGUUCGAAUUGCUUACCGGAUUAAAGAUUCUAUGUACCUCUUGCUUCGUCAUCAUCAUCUUUGUUUUAAACAUUUCCAAGGAAACCUCCACCUUAUGGGUUGAUAGCUUCCUCAAAUUCACCUUCUUCUUGGUUCAAUUUCAUCAUCACAAUGUAACUUAACAAUAGAGGAACCAAACCCCUAAGGUUUGGGUUCCAUUUAGACCUCUUGCACCACUUAGUUGCAGAUUUCAGUUUUAGGGUUCAUACGUUUCUCAAUUCAAUUUUGAAAUUUGGUUAGGUUUUAGGACUAUUGGACCUAGGAAUGAGAGAGAGGGCUAGGAGAGGCUCAUUUUGGUAUAAAUUUUUGGCUGUUUGGAUCAACUCUGUUGUCUCCGGUGCGGCGGAGCCACCACCGGUAGAAAAAUAAUUGAGAGAGUGAGAGAGAAUGGCUGAAAUGAAAUGAAGCAUGAACUGAUUGUAUUUGCUGAGUCCCCUC